rnacentral:lncRNA from 1 species
AGUCAGGUUAUUUUGAAGCAAAGGAAAUCUGGUUCAUAAUUCAAACAAGUAAGAAAUUAACAUAAUAGAAAAAAUACCAGAACCAGAAGACAAUCAAAAACUUCAGAAUUUACUGACAGCUCCUAUAAAUGUUUGCAGAUUACACCAAGCUGGCAGGAAGUGUCAAUCUGCCUGGGGGUAGAAAGGCCCUACAGAGAGAUCUGGACAGGCUGGAUCUCUGGGCCAAUGGGAUGAGGUUCAACAAGACCAAGUGCCGGGUCCUGCACUUUGGCCGCAACAACCCCAGGCAACGCUACAGGCUUGGGGCAGAGUGGCUGGAAGGUUGUGUGGGGGAAAUGGACCUGGGGGCACUGGUCGAUGCUCGGCUGAGCAUGAGCCAGCAGUGUGCCCAGGUGGCCAAGAAGGCCAAUGGCAUCCUGGCUUGUAUCAGAAAUAGUGUUGCCAGCAGGAGUAGGGAAAUCAUUGUCCCUCUUUCCUCAGCCCUGGUGAGGCCGCACCUCGAGUACUGUGUCCAGUUUUGGGCCCCUCACUGCAAGAAAGACAUUGAGGCCCUGGGGCGUGUUCAGAGGAGGGCGAUGAAGCUGGUGAGGGCUCUGGAGCACAGGCCUUAUGAGGAGCGGCUGAGGGAGCUGGGGUUGUUCAGUCUGGAGAAGAGGAGGCUCAGGGGGGACCUUAUUGCUCUCUAUAACUCCCUGAAGGGAGGUUGUAGUGAGCUGGGGGUCAGCCUCUUCUCCCUUGUAACUAGUGACAGGACGAGGGGGAGUGGCCUCAAGUUGCGCAGGGGAGAUUUAGGCUGGACAUUAGGAAACACUCCUUUUCUGAAAGAGUGGUCAGGCGCUGGAAUGGGCUGCCCAGGGAGGUGGUUGAGUCACCGUCCCUGGAGGUGUUCAAGAAACGUUUAGAUAUAGCGUUGAGAGACAUGGUUUAGUGGGGUUAUUGGUGGUAGGUGGAUGGUUGGACUGGAUGAUCUUGUAGGUCUUUUCCAACCUUGCUAAUUCUAUGAUUCUAUGAUAAAGCACUAGCUGAUUUCUCAAGGAACUUUUUUUUCUGAUUUUGUCAAAAAAACAAACAUACUACAAUGACAGGUUCACAGCUUUACA